rnacentral:rRNA from 1 species
GAUGAACGCUGGCGGCGUGCCUAAUACAUGCAAGUCGAGCGAACAGAUGAGGAGCUUGCUCCUCUGACGUUAGCGGCGGACGGGUGGGUAACACGUGGAUAACCUACCUAUAAGACUGGGAUAACUUCGGGUAACCGGAGCUAAUACCGGAUAAUAUAUUGAACCGCAUGGUUCAAUAGUGAAAGACGGUUUUGCUGUCACUUAUAGAUGGAUCCGCGCCGCAUUAGCUAGUUGGUAAGGUAACGGCUUACCAAGGCAACGAUGCGUAGCCGACCUGAGAGGGUGAUCGGCCACACUGGAACUGAGACACGGUCCAGACUCCUACGGGAGGCAGCAGUAGGGAAUCUUCCGCAAUGGGCGAAAGCCUGACGGAGCAACGCCGCGUGAGUGAUGAAGGUCUUCGGAUCGUAAAACUCUGUUAUUAGGGAAGAACAAAUGUGUAAGUAACUAUGCACGUCUUGACGGUACCUAAUCAGAAAGCCACGGCUAACUACGUG